rnacentral:misc_RNA from 1 species
GAAAUGCGAUAAGUAAUGUGAAUUGCAGAAUUCAGUGAAUCAUCGAAUCUUUGAACGCACAUUGCGCCCGGCAGUAAUCUGCCGGGCAUGCCUGUCCGAGCGUCAUUUCUCCCCUCGACACCCCGGCUCUGCCGCGGCGUCGGUGUUGGGGCGCUACGGGGAGCCUCGCGCUCGACCCCGUAGGCCCCGAAAUGAAGUGGCGGCCCCGCCGCGGCGCCCCCUGCGUAGUAGCUCUUACAACUCGCAUCGGGUCCCGGCGGAGGCCAGCCGUCAAACCCCCCAAUCUUUAUGAUGUUUGACCUCGGAUCAGGUAGGGUUACCCGCUGAACUUAA